AUCGCUUCUCGGCCUUUUGGCUAAGAUCAAGUGUAGUAUUUAUUACCUCUAGGUAAUAAAUAAAUAUGUGUUCUUUUAAGCCACUAUAACAUUGUUAUCCACUUCUCAGAAUUCUCCAUUUUUGAAAUGACAGUGUUAUAAAGAUGGAGAAUAGGA
rnacentral:snRNA from 1 species